AAUACAUCGUUACCAAACAUGGAUUGGAUACUGAAAUUUUUUAAGACAUGCCAUCUCCCAUAGUUAGCCAUAACGAGCUACGACGUCUUUUUUCGCUGCCAGUUAAUACUCAAAACAAAUUUUGUUUAACAGAUUGGCCCCUGGGCACGGCCAUGCUUGAUGACGUCACACCAAGUUAUGACUGGUCAAGUGGGUGUUAGAAGCUGACGACCUGUGAUGCCCCAGCCUCCUCGGCGCUGUUACACCUAUUUAAAGUACAUGAUGACACCGCCGAUGGGUAUUCUGCCCAAGGAGAGAGUGUACAGGGAUCCACUGGAGCCUUUGUAUUCUGUGUAACUUAUUUUCAACCUUCACCUACAACACCACAUCUCAAAGGACUCUUGCAAGGGGGGAAAUGUUUGUUGUUGACUACAGUACAGUACAGGACCUUCUUCCAUGUUCCUUCAACAUAGUAAAUGAAGAAUGCUUCAAGUAUGAGAAUUGGGAGGACAAAGAAGCUCCCCAAUUGUUGUGUACUCUCACUCAAUGCAAACCUCUUCAAUCUCCACUGUGCUGCAAAUAAUGUCAGUACUGCUGGGCCUCCCUCAUUGUAUAUUUAUUACUCUGUAUACACAGCCACACACUGGACGGUAAUUUACAUGGCUGCUGAAGAGUUAUUAUUACCAGAGUACACUUACAUUCACCCUGAAGUUUUCAUGAGUUUGUUAUGAUAAGAAUCAGCUCUUUCCUGGAACUGUUCCUUCCCUAAUAUUUCAUUUAGCAGCAUUAUAAUGCUAUUACAGGUUGGACCUCGUUAAUCCAGGACCCGAUAGUCCGGCAGCUUCAAUGGUUCGGGACAGGUAUCAGUAGGCCUAUAAUAUACAAUUUUCUCUUUGCUUUUUCUGCUAAUCUACUUAUUUCUGUGUCACAGUACAGUAAACUUGAGCUGAUGUAAGUUGUAUUUGUACCAGUAAUAAUACACUUUAUGCAUUAUUUUGCCUCUUUUUUUUUUAACCUUGGCUUCGAUGAUUCAGAAUUUUCACUAAUCCGGAACCAGUCUGGUCCCAAGCUUCCCGGAUUAGUGAGGUCCAACCUGUGCUGCACGUAAACAGCUAAGUUUUUUAAGCAUGUAACAAAAUGAGUAAAUACACUCCAGUACUUUACUUUCAAUACAAUGUCAACAUUUUAUUCCAUAUUAUAGGAAAUGGGAUCCUAAUGCUGUCACUAGAUACCCCUGUACAAUAUUACCUGAAGUAUCUGGUAGGUGUCUCAAGUUCAUAUAAAAUAAAUAAUACAAAGAGCUUACUAAAUCCUGAGGAAUUAAAAACAUUUCUUUAAAA